rnacentral:misc_RNA from 1 species
UUCCCAUGCUUGAAGGCUUCCAAACUCAGGAGCAGGUAAAUCUUUUACUCUGGCAAGUUGAUCCAUCAAUGGUUUGAGUUGUGCCUCCACCCUAUGAAGCAUGUCUUCCAACUUUUCACGGCGGCGUCUCCUAUCAUUGUCAUCCCCAUCGGUGGACCCUUGAGAAGCUAGCUUGUCGCUCUCUGCCACUAGUUCCCCAUUGCAACUCUCACAG